rnacentral:rRNA from 1 species
UGCCAGACUCCUACGGGAGGCAGCAGUGGGGAAUAUUGCACAAUGGGGGAAACCCUGAUGCAGCGACGCCGCGUGAGUGAGGAAGUAUUUCGGUAUGUAAAGCUCUAUCAGCAGGGAAGAAAAUGACGGUACCUGACUAAGAAGCCCCGGCUAACUACGUGCCAGCAGCCGCGGUAAUACGUAGGGGGCAAGCGUUAUCCGGAUUUACUGGGUGUAAAGGGAGCGUAGACGGUGAUGCAAGUCAGAAGUGAAAGCCCGGGGCCCAACUCCGGGACUGCUUUUGAAACUGUGUAACUGGAGUGCAGGAGAGGUAAGCGGAAUUCCUGGUGUAGCGGUGAAAUGCGUAGAUAUCAGGAGGAACACCAGUGGCGAAGGCGGCCUGCUGGACUGCAACUGACGUUGAGGCCCGAAAGCGUGGGGAGCAAACAGGAUUAGAUACCCCUGUAU